rnacentral:rRNA from 1 species
AGUGGCCUACGGGAGGCAGCAGUAGGGAAUUUUCGGCAAUGGGGGGAACCCUGACCGAGCAACGCCGCGUGAAGGAAGAAGGAAUUCGUUCUGUAAACUUCUGUUAUAAAGGAAGAAAGGCGGAUGAAGGAGAUGACAUCCGAGUGACGGUACUUUAUGAGAAAGCCACGGCUAACUACGUGCCAGCAGCCGCGGUAAUACGUAGGUGGCAAGCGUUAUCCGGAAUUAUUGGGCGUAAAGAGGGAGCAGGCGGCAGCAAGGGUCUGUGGUGAAAGACUGGAGCUUAACUUCAGUAAG